rnacentral:rRNA from 1 species
GUAAGGAAUAUUGGUCAAUGGACGAAAGUCUGAACCAGCCAUGCCGCGUGAAGGAUGAAGGCCCUCUGGGUUGUAAACUUCUUUUAUCUGGGACGAAAAAAGGGUAUUCUUACUCACUUGACGGUACCAGAGGAAUAAGCACCGGCUAACUCCGUGCCAGCAGCCGCGGUAAUACGGAGGGUGCAAGCGUUAUCCGGAUUCACUGGGUUUAAUGUGUGCGUAGGUGGGUAUUUAAGUCAGUGGUGAAAUCUCCGAGCUUAACUCGGAAACUGCCAUUGAUACUAUUUACCUUGAAUGCCCUGGAGGUAAGCGGAAUAUGUCAUGUAGCGGUGAAAUGCUUAGAUAUGACAUAGAACACCAAUUGCGAAGGCAGCUUACUACGGGGUGAUUGACACUGAGGCACGAAAGCGUGGGGAGCAAACAGGAUUAGAAACCCUUGUAGUCC